GUGGAACAUAAUCUCGAGCAGAAGACUGCCUCUGCCUGACUUGCUAACUUUCUCCACCUCCAGCACCGAAAUGACAUCUGGCACAUGUCUGAGCAGGCAGCUCGCCUGUGCCUGGCACGACUUCAGUGGACUCCAAGGGGCCAGGCCGGGCCAGCUCUGCGGUGCGGCUCCCCGGCUGUGUGGACGCUGCAAAUCCAUCUUCUCAUCCCGGCUAACGACAUAGGGACCACUUUGACAGCUCCAGGGAAAGGAUUUGGGACCACCUCCAGGAACAUAGGCUUGUGGUGAUCUUCCUCCUUCCCCCUCUGAGCUGUCCUUGGAUUCUUGGAGUUUUCCGAGUCCCUGGAAGAGAUGGUGGUUAGCUUCAUGAUGGUCUUUACCUUUUUAAAAUGUGCAAGUUCUCUAACCUGGGAGGGAAAUGAGGGGGUCUGGUGUCAGCCUCCAAGGACAGCCUGUCCAAGUUGAGCCCCUGUGGCCCAGCCUCUGCCCCAUGGGUCCUCCAGGAGAGGCUCAGAGCCCAGUCACCUUCGUGUAUUAAGAAGCAGGUGGUGGGGGGGCGCCUGGGUGGCUCAGUUGUUAAGCGUCUGCCUUUUGGCUCAGGUCACAAUCCCAGGGUCCUGGGAUUGAGCCCCACAUCAGGCUCCCUGCUCGACGGGAACCCUGCUUCUCCCUCACCCACUCCCCCUGCUUGUGUUUUCCUCUCUUGCUGUGUCUCUCUCUGUCAAAUAAAUAAAUAAAAUUAAAAAAAAAAAAAGAAGAAGAAGAAGAAGAAGCAGCAGGUGGUGGGGAGGCAAGCUUUUGCCAGGCUCUUGUUGGCAAUGAAUGGAAAUAAAAUGGCAGUGACCCCUGGAUGACGCCAUUUGGGGAAACUACCUCUGUGCUUUUCUUUCAAU